AUUGAACGCUGGCGGCAGGCUUAACACAUGCAAGUCGAGCGAGCGGCGGACGGGUGAGUAAUGUAUGGGAAACUGCCUGAUGGAGGGGGAUAACUACUGGAAACGGUGGCUAAUACCGCAUACCAUCAGAUGUGCCCAGAUGGGAUUAGCUAGUAGGUGGGGUAAAGGCUCACCUAGGCGACGAUCCCUAGCUGGUCUGAGAGGAUGACCAGCCACACUGGAACUGAGACACGGCCCAGACUCCUACGGGAGGCAGCAGUGGGGAAUAUUGCACAAUGGGCGCAAGCCUGAUGCAGCCAUGCCGCGUGUGUGAAGAAGGCCUUAGGGUUGUAAAGUACUUUCAGCGAGGAGGCGUUACCCGCAGAAGAAGCACCGGCUAACUCCGUGCCAGCAGCCGCGGUAAUAC
rnacentral:rRNA from 1 species